UACGGAGGGUGCGAGCGUUGUCCGGAAUCAUUGGGCGUAAAGGGCGCGUAGGUGGCCCGGUCAGUUCGUGGUGAAAGCGCGGGGCUCAACCCUGCGUCGGCCAUGAAUACUGCUGCGGCUGGAGCACUGUAGAGGCAGGCGGAAUUCCGGGUGUAGCGGUGGAAUGCGUAGAGAUCCGGAAGAACACCGGUGGCGAAGGCGGCCUGCUGGGCAGUGCUGACACUGAGGCGCGACAGCGUGGGGAGCAAACAGGG
rnacentral:rRNA from 1 species